rnacentral:rRNA from 1 species
AUUGAACGCUGGCGGCAGGCCUAACAAAUGCAAGUCGAACGAGUGGCGGACGGGUGAGUAAUGUCUGGGAAACUGCCCGAUGGAGGGGGAAAACGACUGGAAACGGUAGCUAAUACCGCAUACCAUCGGAUGUGCCCAGAUGGGAUUAGCUGGUAGGUGAGGUAACGGCUCACCGAGGCGACGAGCCCUAGCUGGGCUUGGAGGAUGACCAGCCACACGGGAAAUUGGACACGUUCGAGACUCCUAGGGGAGGCAGCAGGGGGGAAGAUGGCACAAUGGGCGCAAGCCUGAUGCAGCCAGGCCGCGUGUAUGAAUAAGUCCUUCGGGUUGUAAAGUACUUUCAGCUGGGAGGCGGUACCCGCAUAAGAAGCACCGGCUAACUCCGUGCCAGCAGCCGCGGUAAUUC